UACGUAGGUGGCAAGCGUUAUCCGGAUUUACUGGGCGUAAAGAGAACGCAGGCGGUCUUUUAAGUCUGAUGUGAAAGCCUUCGGCUUAACCGGAGUAGUGCAUUGGAAACUGGGAGACUUGAGUGCAGAAGAGGAGAGUGGAACUCCAUGUGUAGCGGUGAAAUGCGUAGAUAUAUGGAAGAACACCAGUGGCGAAAGCGGCUCUCUGGUCUGUAACUGACGCUGAGGGUCGAAAGCGUGGGUAGCAAACAGG
rnacentral:rRNA from 1 species